rnacentral:snRNA from 1 species
CGACUAAAAUCAUCAACAAUUGU